GUCCCCAUCGUCUAGAGGCCUAGGACAUCGCCCUUUCACGGCGGUAACAGGGGUUCGAAUCCCCUUGGGGACG
rfam:Legionellales bacterium RIFCSPHIGHO2_12_FTLL_37_14 rifcsphigho2_12_scaffold_353, whole genome shotgun sequence.